ACCUUCUCCAAGUUCUCAACCACCCCAUGUAACAACACCUCCAAAAACACCCUCUCCUAUUUCUCAACCUCCCUAUGUUUUGUCACCUCCAAAAACACCCUCUCCAAGUUCUCAAGCUCCCUAUGUAACAACACCUCCAAAAACACCCUCUCCAAGUUCUCAACCACCCUAUGUGCUAACACCUCCAAAAACUUCUUCACCAAGUUCUCAACCUCCAUAUGUGCUAACCCCUCCAAAAACACCCUCUCCAAGUUCUCAACCUCCCUAUGUUCCAUCACCUCCAAAAACACCCUCUCCAAUUGCUCAAGCUCCCUAUGUACUAUCACCUCCAAACACACCCUCUCCAAUUUCUCAACCACCCUAUGUAACAACACCUCCAAGCACUCCUUCUCCUAUCAAUCAACCACCCUAUGUAACAACACCCCCAAAACCCAGUUCUCCUAUUUCUCAACCUCCAUAUAUAUCAACACCUCCAAACACUCCUUCUCCUAUCAAUCAACCACCCUAUAUAACAACACCUCCAAAACCCAGUUCUCCUACUUCCCAACCUCCAUAUAUAUCAACUCCUCCACCAACCCCUUCUCCUAUUUCUCAAUCUCCCUAUGUAACAACACCUCCUAAACCCAUUUCUCCUUCUUCUCAACCUCCAUAUAUAUCAUCACCUCCAACAACAACCCCAUCUCCUAUUUCUCAACCUCCCUAUGUCUCAACACCUCCAAAAACUGCUUCUCCUACUUCUCAACCUCCACAUAUAUCAAUAC
rnacentral:lncRNA from 1 species